rnacentral:rRNA from 1 species
UACGUAGGGUCCGAGCGUUGUCCGGAGUUACUGGGCGUAAGGCGCGCGCAGGCGGCGGUAUAAGCAUGGCGUGAAAGCCCCAGGCUUAACCUGGGAGGGUCGUCGUGGACUGUACCGCUUGAGGGCGGUAGGGGCUGGUGGAAUGCCUGGUGUAGUGGUGAAAUGCGUAGAGAUCAGGCGGAACACCCGUGGCGAAGGCGGCCAGCUGGGCCGUCCCUGACGCUGAGGUGCGAAAGCGUGGGAAGCAAACAGG